rnacentral:rRNA from 1 species
GUGUCAGCAGCCGCGGUAAUACGUAGGGGGCAAGCGUUGUUCGGAAUUACUGGGCGUAAAGGGCGCGUAGGCGGUACGACAAGUCGGGAGUGAAAGCCCGGGGCUCAACCCCGGGACUGCUUUCGAAACUGUCGAACUCGAGUGCAGAAGAGGCAACUGGAAUUCCCAGUGUAGCGGUGAAAUGCGUAGAUAUUGGGAAGAACACCUGAGGCGAAGGCGGGUUGCUGGGCUGACACUGACGCUGAGGCGCGAAAGCCAGGGGAGCGAACGGGAUUAGAUACCCUCGUAGUCC